GCAUCGUUAGCUCAGCUGGACAGAGCUCCCGGUUUCGGCCCGGGUGGUCGUGGGUUCGAAUCCUACACGGUGCUCCA
rnacentral:tRNA from 1 species